AUACGAAGGGUGCAAGCGUUACUCGGAAUUACUGGGCGUAAAGCGUGCGUAGGUGGUUGUUUAAGUCUGUCGUGAAAGCCCUGGGCUCAACCUGGGAAUUGCGAUGGAUACUGGGCAACUAGAGUGUGGUAGAGGGUGGCGGAAUUCCCGGUGUAGCAGUGAAAUGCGUAGAGAUCGGGAGGAACAUCCGUGGCGAAGGCGGCCACCUGGGCCAACACUGACACUGAGGCACGAAAGCGUGGGGAGCAAACAGGAUCAGAUACCCUGGUAGUCCACGCCCUAAACGAUGCGAACUGGAUGUUGGGUUCAACUUGGAACCCAGUAUCGAAGCUAACGCGUUAAGUUCGCCGCCUGGGGAGUACGGUCGCAAGACUGAA
rnacentral:rRNA from 1 species